GCCCUUACAUGUGCACACCAGGAAGAAGGGUACAAGGAGUUUUGCACCGGCAUUUCGACCGGCGUGGAUCAAGAGAAAAGGGGGAGCGGGAGUUAACCCUUGGUGUGCUGCCUUACGGACUAAUGGAAAAGAAAAUUUCAAUGGUUUGUGAUGUUGCCCAUGGUCCCAGCCAUUUCAAAAUGUCAUCAUCUGGAAUAAAAUCAAAGUUCCUAGGAGAUACUGGUCCAUUUGAUUUCAUGCAAUGAAAUACCAACUGGAAAUAUCCACUAUGAAGGUUUAUCACCCAAUCUGUCUGUGCACCUACCUGUGAGAAUCGAUAGCCUCCUCAUGGCUGGGAAUGGAUGGUUUCCAGAUGUAUCUAGAAUGUCUAGCUGGUACAUGUCUCCUCUGAUGUUGUACAGCUUGCGAUGAAAAUCCUCAAUGGUCGGUGUGUAUUGGUCUUCAAAUCGUCCGUUCAAGAAGCGAGAAACGAUGGCACUCUUGCCAACUCUGGAUGCCCCAAGGACAACCAUCCGAUAAGAGUUUUUAGCUGGGACACUGAGUGUGCAGUUCCCACUGGAGAGAGUCUUCAUCAUGGCUUCAACCUAAGACAUAGAAUAUUUAUUAUAUCAUUUGACCUCAGUGACUAGAUUCCUUAGCUUGCUCAGCUUGCGCUUAAAAUACAGCCCACCCUUUCACAUUCAAAGUCUAAAAUCACCACUCUAGGGGGGCAUUUAUCAGCAUUUGGAUUUUUGUGGUUUUAAAGGUUUUUUUAAACUACAACUUAACUCAUUUCCACGAAUAUCAGUCAUUCUUAAAAAGAUCCGAACUGAAGAACCAUGAACAAAAAAAGAUGCAGAAAAAAAUGCAAAAACUUUUUUUUUUUUGUAUUGUGGCACAAAUGACAGCGUCAAAAAAAACAAAAACCUCUAAAACCACAAAGCAAAGAAAUAUCUUCCAUUUGUAAAAGGGACAUCUGCCAUUGACUUCUCAGCAGGUUUUAGAUGGCAUAUUGUUGCUUUCGGAUUUGUUGCAGCUUUGUCACAUAAUGAAUUGCAAAAAAAAAUGAAAAGCUUGUAUUUUGGUGCCAAGAAACCUGAAUGGCAAAAAAUUUGAGCAUUAGUAAAUGCCCCUUUGGUGUAAGAUGCACCACAUCCUAGAUGUAUCUAGUGCAAUAUUUCUGAUGUCUAUGCAUGAAUUUUAUCCUUAUCAAAGGCAACCUGUGGCACAACAUAACCUUCUGGCACAACAGGGGUCCAACAAAAGGGGACUCAGACCCUGAGACUGUUGGGUGGCCCUGAAAUGAUGUGCAGUUUCAAUAUACAAUUUCAAAACAGAACAUAUUGAAGCAAACCCAGGUAUUCCUGUCUGCAUGAGACCUACAUGUUCUAAUGUUGCAUUUCAGAGAGUUGCAUGUCACUUCAAAAUAUUUCCAGUUCCCAGACAUCAAAGCUAUAAUACAGCACAUUCAAUAAAAGGUUGCCGUAUUGACUACUAGAAUGGCUUCUCAGUUAUUUCAUGAACUUAAGGGCAUCAUAAAGCAGAUCUAUCCCCCAGUUACUGAGACAAUAUCUAUAAUGACAUGGCUUCUUUUGUGAGAAGUAUGAAAUCGCUUUUAUUCGGCUACAGUACAUUGAUUUGCAGCUUUCAUAGCAAAUCAAUGGCACAAAAGAAUUGCGUCAAACGGCAGAGAGUGCAGGGUUGCAUCUGCAAGUUCAUCUACAAUGAGGCAGAAUGAAACAGGGGAUGUAGGGAAGGUAAUAAUGUUUCAUUCUGGAUGUAAGAGAAGUGACCUGGGCCAAGGUAUCUGUAAGUCAUUCUGUAGAUGGCAAAAUUAGUGAUACAGGUAAUCAGCAAAGGUGGUAUAGAAUCAUGUAGUAAAGCAUUCAGUUAACAAAAUUCUGCCAGUCAGUCUGUAUUGCUGGAAAAUGCACAAUAUUACCAGCCUCCAAUAACAAAAAAUAAAUAAAGAAUUUGUUAAAGCAAACUGAAACUGGUGUUUCAGUUGUACACAUUUGCUCUUUCUAUAAAAUAUAUGGUUAUAUCUCUCUGAAUAGAUUGGUGCCCAUUUUGCUAAGCAAUAUUUUUACCAUAUGCCCCAGCCUAUCCUUAGCUUGUACUGUAGGGUUUUACAAAGUCUGCCUGUUUUAUUACUGUAAUGCCCCCUAUAUUACAUUGCUUGGGUUCACAUUGCUCUGCAUAUCUCACUAUAUUAAUGCUAUGCUCUGGAUGUCUAUGUAUUUACUUUGCCUGACAUUACAUUGCUCUGCAUGUGUUCCUAUAGCACUGAAAAUCCUCUUUAUGUUUCCGUAUUACUGCAAUGCUUUGCAUGGUGUCUGUAUUACACUCCCUAGAAUUACAUUAUUUUUGAUGUCUUACUGUAAAUUUGCAAUGUUCAGCUUGCCCCAGUUUUAUUUAGCCUGGUCCCACAUUGCUCUAUGCUUUUUACUAUAUUAUUGUAAUUCUUUGCCAUGUUCCUUUACGUGUUGUCACAUUGCUCUGCAUGUUUCACUAUAUAACUGCCUGGUGUCCCAUAAUAUUUUCUGCAUAUUUCUCUCAUGUUCCUGUACCUUUUUAUUACUCUGCGUGUAGUUACAGAGCUUUUUGCGUGCAUUACUUUAUGUACUAAUGCUCCACCUUUCGCUUGAUUACUUGCAUCUUAAUAUUCAGUACAUAUUUUGUCUGCCACCUGCCACUUUAUCAUUUAAAUGCUCUGCGUAUCAUUAUAUAAGCAUGUUAGUACAAUAUUCUGAAUGCACCUAUAUUUCUGUACAUUGUUACAGGGGCGUGUGUCACUAUAUUACAUUGCGUAUUACAUACCUGUGUAUGGUGCUACUCAGCUAUUUUUGUCACUAUAUAAUUCUGCAACAUGUUAAAAAGUUCUGCAUCUCUCUAUAUUAGCUUGCAUUCUGGUACAAUACUGGACUUGUCGCUAUAUUGCUCUGUAUGGUGUUAUAUUCGCUGUAUAACAACUAUAUUCCCUUUUACUGUGUUAAGUUCUCUGUAUGUAACUAUAAUGCUUUGUGUGCAUAUUGUUACCACUUGCCCACAGGUUGCUUUGCAGGUUAUUUUAUUAUUAAGCCUAUAAUAGUACUAUGUAUAAAUGGUUCUAUAUUACUACGCAUUUUCCCACUGUUGUGCUUGUAGCUACAUUGCUCUGCAUACUGUAUACUGCAUAUUACUCAGAAUGCUUUAAUGUUAAACUGCAUAUUAAUAUAUCAUAUUGCAUUUAGCUGUCCAUUCACUUCUGCAUAAAUACAUUUCUUCUCUUUGCUAAUCUAAUUCAACCUGUUACAAUAUUCUGUAUGUCUGCACAGUGUUGUACGUCACAAUAUAACUUAUAUAAUAGUUUUUGCAUAUCAUUAUAUUGAUAUGUAUUUUCUUAGAAUAUUCAGAGUAUCUCUCUUUUCUUGUGUGUGUAUAUUCCCAUAUAUAUUGUAUUUGAUCUGUGUUAAAUAGUUUUACCAGAUAAAUAUAAUGCAUAUUUGUAAAUGAUUUAAUAUUGUUAUAAUACUCUUCAUCUCCCUGCAUUAUUCUGUAUGUUAUAUAUUGCUGUGUAUGUCUUUUUAUUCAUCAGUAUGUUAUAAUACUCUGUAUAACAUUAUAUUACUCUCUAGUAUAAUACUCCGCAUUUCCCUAUAUUACUUUUUACUUUAUGUUGUAACAAAUGCUUUGCAUGUCCUUAUAUUACUUUAUAUGUUGUUAUAAUUCCUUGCAUAUCACUGUAUUGUACUUUAUAUUGCUAUACCACUCUGCAUAUCACUAUAUAGCUCUGUAAUUAUUCUCUGAAUAACCCUAUGUUACUGUGGGUUUAACACUUUAUAUGUCACUUUCUAACUCUCACAUGUGGUCAUAUUGUUCUUCAUAUCACUAUAUUACUCUGUCACUCUGUAUAUACAUUACUAUGUAUAGCAUUACAAUGCUCUGCGUAUUUUUCACUAUGCAAUCCAAUUGUGUAUGGCAGGGCAUUACCCUACAUAUUAACAGUGGGAAUACCUCUGCAUGUCAGAGUAGCAGUAUCUAUGUGUAACCCUUAUUACCAUUAUUUCCCUGUGUAUCCAGUUACAUGCAGUGUGACACACAGGUUGCCUUCUCUUACCUUUUGUAGUGGUGCGCUCUCAGACAAAGGCUAUUGCUGCUGAUUCCUCCUCUCUUCUCCCCAAAUCUGCUCUUUUCCACUCUUCUCCAAAUCCUGAUGUCUCAGUUUGGUCUCCAUAGGCAGAUCUAUUUAUACAGUUUGCUCUUAGAGAGCCAAUCCAACCCCCACCCCAAGGAGACAGACACCCGAGUAAGUGUUGGGCUUUUCCCUGGAAGUAUUCAGUGCUGAGUCCUUCAGAGUGGAUAAAGCAGGGUUAAAGCACAUUUAAAGCUCAGUCUCUGUUCCACGUGAAAUUCUGCCAUUAUGAUAUGUACUAAGGUUUCGAAACAGAAAUCACUGCAGCUUUGAUACUUUCAUCUGAUCAGAAAUCUGUUAUUACAGACUCACCCCAGACAUUCUAUGAUCUAGACAUCAGGCUGUGUUCUAUGAAGAGUUUAUUUACAGUGUAGAUACAGAAGUAUCUAUGUGGUUUCACAAUUCCUCUCUGUGCUGCUCAGUAACAGAACAGCGCCUAGUUUUUCUCUUUGUCUCCUUCUCUUGGCACCCAAUCCACAAAGUCCCAGGCACGAAACAGUGUGCAGCUUCCAGCAGGACCCUUGUGUCUCUUCUGUCUCCUGAACUGAAAGGACAGGCUUUUUCCCAAGGUCCAUGGCCCACCUCCCUACAAGGGCCCUAUCCAAUCAGAUGUCAGCAGGGCUUUCCUGAGAGCCGGAAUACACAGAUGGGCUGCUGUACAAAGUACUUGCUUCUUCUUUAGGCUAUUUUAUGUCAAACACCUAUCUGUCUCCCAAUACUUUCCCCGAAGAGCUUGCACUUUUUUUAUUGAUCCUCAUAUUGUUACAACUAGAAAGUGUUUGCUUUUUCUAUAAAACACUGAUUGCUGGGUAAAGAGAGAACUCUUUUUGUAACAUGUGCAUUAUUAUUAUUAAAUAGAAUUAAACCACGUUUAAUGUAAAGCUGAUCGCACAGAUCCCCACAGCCCCAUGGGCACAGCUCAUUAAGCCCUAAAAAAAAUGCCCACUGACCACCUCAUAGCAAAGGGCCCACUUGUUUGUUGCUGGGGGAAAAAAGGCUGUAAUGUCCCAAUCAAGCAGCCUUUAGAUUGCAAGCUCUUGCAAACAGGGGUCUUUCUUUCUACAGUUUAUUCUUCAUUUGUAUUUGUUAUAUUGUUUGUAUCUGGUCUGAUGCUUUAUAAUUGUGUUAUAAACUGAACUGCCCUG